UCCUUCCCAACAACCCGGCAGUUGCUGUUAUCUCCUCCUCUUUCCAGAGCCUACGGUUCUAGUUCGCCCAAAUGGGCAGCCUUCUGGCUUGACAAUAAAGAACAGUAGAAGCCGGACGGUGGUGGCGCAUGCCUUUAAUCCCAGCACUCGGGAGGCAGAGCCAGGCAGAUCUCUGUGAGUUCAAGGCCAGCCUGGUCUACAAAGGGAGAAAGCCGUUCGCUAGGAAAAUUAAGGAACUUGCCCCGAGACCACCUAACCCUUUAGAGGAAAUGUCAACGUUGCAAUCCAGCCUCCCACCCCUACGUGGCGCUGUUUCACUAUGCUCAUGAUGAUUGUCUUCGGAAUCUGUGUGCAGACCCAGGCACUCCUAGCGAUUUACAUUCCCAACCACCUGAAACCCAUUGAUUAAAAAGGCAGACUACCAAGCUCAAGUCCACACAGUCUCAACUGCCUGUAGAAGAAAACAAAGGGAAAUGGUUGUUGUUUCUGGCCACUGAGAUGAUUACUAUGAAUAAUAUUGUUAAUGAUCCAUCCUAGCAACGACUUUAUGUUGAUCAAAUUGUGAGUCAGCUUCUGUGUUGCUAAGCGACUGUGACAUUUUGUAAAACCCUUUGGGAAAAUA